rnacentral:rRNA from 1 species
GGCUUUACAUUCAGCAAAUUCCCAAACUGCACAUUUAAAGCAUUGCGAUGCUCUUAAAAAGUGAAAAGUCUUUACGGGAGGGUGGUGGCGAGCGAGAGUGGGUGAGCUCGAGUGAGAGAGCAAGGGGAGAGUGGGUGGGCCGGUGGGGAGAGAGCGAGGGGAGGUCUAGGGGCAGCAGCGGCCGAAGAGGAGCGGUAGCAGUGGCGACUCGGUGGGGCGAAGGAGAGAAAGAGGCGUGGUGGCUCGGUGGGGCAAAGGAGGGUGGCGGUCUUUAGGUGGUGGGCAUCCAGUUUUCGAACUAAAAAAUCCGCGGCCGCUACUCGAAGACCGGCCGCCUCCGCGACCUAGGCGCACGAAGCUGCGGCCGCUGCUUCGCUGUACCUAGGCCCGCCCUACGACGACCUCCUGAAGCCCGACACCCACCUGGACCACGCCGCGUAGGCGCUCCACGACCGGUUGAUGGGCCUCCCGUGGUGGCGCGACGCCCUGCGGCCCUCGAGUAGGUCUUGCGGCUGCUACGGCCCCGGAGCACGCAGGCGGAGACGGAGCUGGCGGCGCGGGUACCCAGGGCGAGCGACGAGCGGGGGCGCGAACGUGUCACAUGCGGUCGUUGCUGCGGCGGAAGUGGCUGCUUCUCAAGCGGUCGUAGGGGGCGUAGCCGCCGGCGUUCUUCAGGAGGGUCCGGACCUUCUGGCCGUCGUUCUACCCGCGAUCGAUGUGAGAGAUAGCGACGGCUCGAGACGAAGCUCGACGACGAGAAAGUUAAACUCGACGCGAUCGAUUCGAGAAAGUUAGACUUGGUUAACAAAAUUUCUUCCCGAUUACUUUUUUCUACACACUCCCAUAGUCAGUAAGAGUACGGCCGUACGACGUGAAAAGUCGAUCGUCUACGUCUCGCUCAUGACCCGCUCCUCUACUUGGAUCCGCUCGUUUUAACUCUUGAGGCCGACCUCGUCGAGGACAGGUCGCCGCUCCUGAAGUCGCCGUCGUCGUGGACACGCACCCCUCCUUGUCGUGGACUCGCGCACGUCCGCCGUCGAGCGGAGGUUGUCACCCGUCGUCGUCUCGUGGUCGAGCGGUGGUGGUCCCCGGCCGUCGUGUCGUGGUCGAGCGGAGGUGGUCGCCCGCCGUCGUCUCGUGGUGGACCCGUGCGCGCCCGGUCCUCCCCGGGGACCCGCACCCUCUCCUCCUCGCGGACCCGUCCUCACCUCCACCUUCCGCCCCUACCUCCGCCUCCACCUUCUGCGGUUCCUUCUUCUGCCCGACUAAGUUUCAAACUUGACCCCCGUAUUUCCAGGUAAACGGGUAAAAGUGGACCAGCCUUGUAUAAGGGGUCGCUGAAUGUAAAGCCUUGCCUCCCUCAUCUUCCAUAGUGUUCCUUGUCUCCUUCGUUGGGCAUUUCCUGUUAGCACGGUUUCGUUGUAAUUAAGACGUGACGUAAGAUGGUUAAGAAGAUAGAGAUUUUAAAUUGUUGUACUUUUCUGGACGUGCCGUUGUGAUACGUGACGUAAAAUAUCGUUUUACCAUCGGUGGUUUUCUAAUUGUCAAUGAAAGUGGUGACUUGUAAAAUAUAGUUGUUGAGUGUAAUUGGCCCUGUUCGUAUCGUUGGUAGUCUUGUAGUUUUGCCUGUGCGUGAGUCGGAGAUGUGUUUGACUUGUGUUCGUAGUAUAGGUGAGAAUCUAUGCAUCAUCUCCUUCGGUACUAAUCUACUGGUUGGUGUUUGGUUUAGGAUCUAUAACGUAGACUCACUACCGGUACCCGUGUGUUUCGUUGUAUUCCCAUACCUCCUUUUUUCUUUCGGUCAGUCCAGUAUACCUGUUUUUACGUGAUACUUUCAGUAACACAAGGUCUCAUAAAAUAAAAGAAAUGGAUACGAGAGGACAUUAUAAGUUUGUCGGCUCAGUCUAGAAAGAUCACUUGUUUUACGUCUUGUUUCCACGACUGUUUUAUUCACCUUUUUCAGACACCGAGAAAUCAGAAAUCUAAAUCUCGUACUAACCAAACGACGGUUAUAAACCGAUCGGUUUACAACCUUAACGGUUUAUAACCGUUAUGGUUCUGAACGG